rnacentral:rRNA from 1 species
UACGGAGGGGGCUAGCGUUGUUCGGAAUUACUGGGCGUAAAGCGCACGUAGGCGGCUUUGUAAGUUAGAGGUGAAAGCCCAGGGCUUAACCCUGGAAUUGCCUUUAAGACUGCAUCGCUAGAACCGUGGAGAGGUGAGUGGAAUUCCGAGUGUAGAGGUGAAAUUCGUAGAUAUUCGGAAGAACACCAGUGGCGAAGGCGACUCACUGGACACGUAUUGACGCUGAGGUGCGAAAGCGUGGGGAGCAAACAGG